ACGAACGCUGGCGGCAGGCUUAACACAUGCAAGUCGAACGCUCGUAGCAAUACGGGAGUGGCGGACGGGUGAGUAACGCGUGGGAACGUACCCUUAGGUUCGGAAUAACUGCGGGAAACUGCAGCUAAUACCGGAUGUGCCCCUUACGGGGGAAAGAUUUAUCGCCUUGGGAGCGGCCCGCGUCGGAUUAGCUAGUUGGUGGGGUAACGGCCUACCAAGGCUUCGAUCCGUAGCUGGUCUGAGAGGACGAUCAGCCACACUGGGACUGAGACACGGCCCAGACUCCUACGGGAGGCAGCAGUGGGGAAUCUUGCGCAAUGGGGGCAACCCUGACGCAGCCAUGCCGCGUGAACGAUGAAGGCCUUAGGGUUGUAAAGUUCUUUUGCCCGUGACGAUGAUGACGGUAACGGGAGAAUAAGCUCCGGCUAACUUCGU
rnacentral:rRNA from 1 species